UAGUCGAAAGUUCCUUCGGGUAUCUCCGUCAGACUGCCCCUGUGAAAGCGAAGUGACAGGAAGAAGCCGAGUCAGGGCCGCUAUCUUCGUUCCCAGACCGCCGACAGAGCGGGAGAGGGUAAGACUCGCCCUUGUAGGGGGUCGACACGCCGAGGAAGUUCUGGGAUCUCCUCGGACUUGCACAACGGCCCACAGGAUGGCGCUGAGAGGGCUGGUCCCUCUCAAUG